rnacentral:rRNA from 1 species
GACAGAGGAUGCAAGCGUUAUCCGGAAUGAUUGGGCGUAAAGCGUCUGUAGGUGGCUUUUUAAGUCCGCCGUCAAAUCCCAGGGCUCAACCCUGGACAGGCGGUGGAAACUACCAAGCUGGAGUACGGUAGGGGCAGAGGGAAUUUCCGGUGUAGCGGUGAAAUGCGCAGAUAUCGGGAAGAACACCCGUGGCGAAGGCGGCUACUCUGGGACGGUACUGACGCUGAGACGCGAAAGCGUGGGGAGCGAACAGG